rnacentral:rRNA from 1 species
GACGUAGGGGCCGAGCGUUGUCCGGAGUUACUGGGCGUAAAGGGCGCGCAGGCGGUUGGUCACAUCGGCGGGGAAAGCCCCCGGCUCAACUGGGGAGGGUCACGCGAUACUGAUCGACUCGAAGGCAGGAGAGGGUAGUGGAAUUCCCGGUGUAGUGGUGAAAUGCGUAGAUAUCGGGAGGAACACCAGUGGCGAAGGCGACUACCUGGCCUGUUCUUGACGCUGGGGCGCGAAAGCUAGGGGAGCAAACGGG